rnacentral:lncRNA from 1 species
UAUUCCUACACAACUAACACAACUUCUUAAAUACCUCACUUCUUCUCUAACUAACAUAUCAUCAUCAUACUUCCCCCUCUCUAACUAACAUCACUAUCUCUCUCUCUCUCCUUCCCUCUCCCUCGACUAGAUUUCGCGCUAUAAGAAAAAUCCUGACCCGCCUAGAUUCACUUGUUCGAUCUUCGUCAGACAACGUGUAUUUAAACUCUAACAAAUCAACUUAAAAACAUAACUUGAUUUCAGUCGUUUGACCUUGAUCAGAGAUCAGAUCGAUCCAUUUUUUCACAUUCUCUCCCUCUCGACAACAACUUUGGUCUUAAC